rnacentral:rRNA from 1 species
AGAGUUUGAUCCUGGCUCAGAGCGAACGCUGGCGGCGUACUUAACACAUGCAAGUCGUACGAGGAUCGUCGGGUUAGCAAUAAUUCGGCGGUUCGAGUGGCGCACGGGUGAGUAACACGUGGGUAACCCACCCUCGAGACCGGGAUACCCUCUCGAAAGGGAGGCUAAUACUGGAUACGUUCCCCGGGACGCAAGAUCUGGGGAGGAAAGGUGGCGAAAGCUGCCGCUCUUGGAGGGGCUCGCGGCCUAUCAGCUAGUUGGUGAGGUAACGGCUCACCAAGGCUAUGACGGGUAGCUGGUCUGAGAGGACGACCAGCCACACGGGAACUGAGACACGGUCCCGACUCCUACGGGAGGCAGCAGUGGGGAAUUUUCCGCAAUGGGCGAAAGCCUGACGGAGUGACGCCGCGUGGGGGACGAAGGCCUUCGGGUCGUAAACCCCUGUCAGAGGGAAAGAAGGGUGUCGGCGUGAAUAGCGCCGGCAUCUGACGGUACCUUCAGAGGAAGCCCCGGCCAACUCUGUGCCAGCAGCCGCGGUAAU